rnacentral:misc_RNA from 1 species
ACCAGGGUGUUAGCUGUGUGGCCAAACCACUGGCGGGCACAGCUCAAUAAGGCUGUCUCAUUGUUGGGGGGUGGGGGAAAACUGAGGAAGCUAAGAAAGCUUUGAAGGAAGCUUUGAAAAUGACAAAUAGGGUUGAAUUGCAUGAUGCAAUAUCACAUUUAAAACAGCUGCAGAAGAAGAAAGUCAAGCCUAAUGGAGGUGCAAAUGGAGAGGGAGCUUUUGUUAUUGUGGAACCCUCAAAAUUUAAGACAAUGAGUGAAAAAACUACAUUGAGGCAGGACUUAGCCAAUGCUCUUCAAAUUAGGGCUUUUCAAAGGAUUAGCAGGUUGGGUCGUUGUGAUGUGGAGCUUUUGAAGAAGGAAAUGAAUGAAAAUGAUGCCCCGUUGUCUUAUUCCGGCGGUGGUGUUCCAGAGAAAUCCAUACGCAAACCUAACUUGGAGGAAAUUCUUCGGAGGUUACUUAAUUUCGUGAAACCUGAAACCUUUCAGGGGACUGUCAAGGCAAUAAAUGAGAGGGUUCUCUCUAUUUUGGAUGAGACAGGCUCAGGCAGGGUGGACGUGGGCAUGUUUUAUGCUGUUCUUGCCCCCAUUUGUAGUGGCAGUCCCGACAAGCGAAAACGGAUUGCUUUUGAUGCACUUUUGUGGCGUCCUGCGAAUGAAGGUGGUUCUCAGAUUAGAAAAAGUGAUGCUGUUCGUUAUAUGAAGUUGCUGAGGGCUAUUUACGUUCCUUCACGAGGAGUUAGUGAAAUGUUAGAAGUUCAUGGGGAGACAGAUUCUUCAAUGGUAUCUUUCAAUGA